rnacentral:rRNA from 1 species
UUAGAGUUUGAUCCUGGCUCAGGAUGAACGCUAGCGGCAGGCUUAACACAUGCAAGUCGAGGGGCAUCGCGGGGUAGCAAUACCCUGGCGGCGACCGGCGAAAGGGUGCGUAACGCGUGAGCGACAUGCCCGUCACAGGGGGAUAACCGGCGGAAACGCCGCCUAAUACCCCAUAUGAGGCCAGGCCACAUGGCUGGGUCUUGAAAGUCAAGGCGGUGACGGAUUGGCUCGCGUCCGAUUAGCCAGUUGGCGGGGCAACGGCCCACCAAGGCGACGAUCGGUAGGGGUUCUGAGAGGAAGGCCCCCCACAAUGGAACUGAGACACGGUCCAUACUCCUACGGGAGGCAGCAGUGAGGAAUAUUGGUCAAUGGGCGGAAGCCUGAACCAGCCAUGCCGCGUGCAGGAAUGAAGCCCUACGGGGUAAGAAAAACUGCUUUUCGAGCGGAGCAAUAAGGGGGGUUCGCCCCUCAGAUGAGAGUACGCGCGGAAUAAGCAUCGGCUAACUCCGUGCCAGCAGCCGCGGUAAUACGGAGGAUGCGAGCGUUAUCCGGAUUCAUUGGGUAUAAAGGGUGCGUAGGCGGCCCCCCACGUCAGCGGUGAAAUGUCCGGGCCCAACCCGGAGGGUUCCGUUGAUACUGCGGGGCUGGAGUACGGACGCCGGCGGAGGAAUGAGUGGUGUAGCGGUGAAAUGCAUAGAUAUCACUCAGAACACCGAUUGCGAAGGCAUCCGCCGAGGCCGUUACUGACGCUGAGGCACGAUAAGCGUGGGGAUAGAACAGGAUUAGAUACCCUGGUAUUC